CUUGUGAGCGAAAUAAAUCAGCUCUCUCCCUCACUCUUCACCUAGCUAACAGGUACCCUGCUGAGCUCUGUUUUUCACAACAUCUCAAACCCAGCAGACAAAAGGAAAUGUCAGGUUUUUUACAGUUGCUAGACCUAUUGACUAAAACUGCUUUUUAGCAUCUGUUUCUAUAGCCUGGAGUAGUUCCUGAGAAGCUCCUGGAUGACAGCAAGGGGGACAAAGUCAAGACAUCAAACCCAGCCCAAAAUCAUAUCUUGAGGGCAAGGUUGCAAACAAGAUCUCUAACAGCCAUCUUUUCAUCUGCGAAGAAAAAAAUGCAUCAGUCUCACACAGCCAUUCUGUUAUCUGCUUGUAGGUAACUGGAACUGAAUUGACGUAACCAUUGCAUUCAUGGAGAACUGAAGGAGGGUAGGCUACAGAAGGAAACAGCCAGAGGAAGAGAUGCAGAGGCUGGCGCUGCUUCCUCCUGCCUGCUGCUUCCUGCCGCCUGCCCAGCUUGCUGUGAGAGCGCGUCUCACAUUUGAAAACCAUGUGGGACUCAGGAUGUGCACCUGAACCUACACCUUGGGGUUUUCUGUGCUGUCAGCGACCGCAGAGAUUUGGAGUCCUCCCCACACCC